rnacentral:rRNA from 1 species
UACGUAGGGUGCAAGCGUUAAUCGGAAUUACUGGGCGUAAAGCGUGCGCAGGCGGCUAUGCAAGUCCGAUGUGAAAUCCCCGGGCUUAACCUGGGAACUGCAUUGGUGACUGGCAAGCUAGAGUGUGGCAGAGGGGGGUAGAAUUCCACGUGUAGCAGUGAAAUGCGUAGAGAUGUGGAGGAAUACCGAUGGCGAAGGCAGCCCCCUGGGCCAACACUGACGCUCAUGCACGAAAGCGUGGGGAGCAAACAGG